rnacentral:rRNA from 1 species
UAGGGAAUCUUCCGCAAUGGACGAAAGUCUGACGGAGCAACGCCGCGUGAACGAUGAAGGCCUUCGGGUCGUAAAGUUCUGUUGUUAGGGAAGAACAAGUACCGUUCGAAUAGGGCGGUACCUUGACGGUACCUAACCAGAAAGCCACGGCUAACUACGUGCCAGCAGCCGCGGUAAUACGUAGGUGGCAAGCGUUGUCCGGAAUUAUUGGGCGUAAAGCGCGCGCAGGCGGUUUUUUAAGUCUGAUGUGAAAGCCCACGGCUCAACCGUGGAGGGUCAUUGGAAACUGGAGAACUUGAGUGCAGAAGAGGAGAGUGGAAUUCCACGUGUAGCGGUGAAAUGCGUAGAGAUGUGGAGGAACACCAGUGGCGAAGGCGACUCUCUGGUCUGUAACUGACGCUGAGGCGCGAAAGCGUGGGGAGCAAACAGG